rnacentral:rRNA from 1 species
GAUGAACGCUGGCGGCGUGCCUAAUACAUGCAAGUCGAGCGAACAGACGAGGAGCUUGCUCCUCUGACGUUAGCGGCGGACGGGUGAGUAACACGUGGAUAACCUACCUAUAAGACUGGGAUAACUUCGGGAAACCGGAGCUAAUACCGGAUAAUAUAUUGAACCGCAUGGUUCAAUAGUGAAAGACGGUUUUGCUGUCACUUAUAGAUGGAUCCGCGCCGCAUUAGCUAGUUGGUAAGGUAACGGCUUACCAAGGCAACGAUGCGUAGCCGACCUGAGAGGGUGAUCGGCCACACGGGAACUGAGACACGGUCCAGACUCCUACGGGGGGCAGCAGUAGGGAAUCUUCCGCAUAGGGCGAAAGCCUGACGGAGCAACGCCGCGUGAGUGAUGAAGGUCUUCGGAUCGUAAAACUCUGUUAUUAGGGAAGAACAAAUGUGUAAGUAACUAUGCACGUCUUGACGGUACCUAAUCAGAAAGCCACGGCUAACUACGUG